GCAGCCGCGGUAAUACGGAGGAUCCAAGCGUUAUCCGGAUUUAUUGGGUUUAAAGGGUGCGUAGGCGGAUUGAUAAGUUAGAGGUGAAAGCUCGGGGCUCAACUCCGGAACUGCCUCUAAUACUGUUAAUCUAGAGAGUAGAUGCGGUAGGCGGAAUGUAUGGUGUAGCGGUGAAAUGCUUAGAGAUCAUACAGAACACCGAUUGCGAAGGCAGCUUACCAAACUAUGUCUGACGUUGAGGCACGAAAGCGUGGGGAGCAAACAGGAUUAGAUACCCC
rnacentral:rRNA from 1 species